rnacentral:rRNA from 1 species
GAUGAACGCUAGCGGGAGGCCUAACACAUGCAAGCCGAGCGGUAUGGGUAGCUUGCUACCCAGAGAGCGGCGUACGGGUGCGUAACACGUGUGCAACCUGCCCUAUCCGGGGGAUAGGCCUCCGAAAGGAGGAUUAAUACCCCAUAAUAUAUCUGGUGGCAUCACUUGGUAUUGAAAACCCCGGUGGAUAGGGAUGGGCACGCGCAAGAUUAGAUAGUUGGCGGGGUAACGGCCCACCAAGUCGAUGAUCUUUAGGGGUCCUGAGAGGGAGAUCCCCCACACUGGUACUGAGACACGGACCAGACUCCUACGGGAGGCAGCAGUGAGGAAUAUUGGACAAUGGGUGGAAGCCUGAUCCAGCCAUCCCGCGUGAGGGACGACGGCCCUAUGGGUUGUAAACCUCUUUUGUACGGGGAUAAACCUAUCUACGUGUAGAUAGCUGAAGGUACCGUACGAAUAAGCACCGGCUAACUCCGUG